GAGGGUAUAGCUCAGUGCUGGAGCAUGUGCUUAGCAUGCACAAGGUCCUGGGUUCAAUCCCCAGUGUCUCCA
rnacentral:tRNA from 1 species